rnacentral:RNase_P_RNA from 1 species
GGGUAAUGCCGCGCCCGCUAAAGAUAGUUCGGAGAGGAAAGUCCGGACACCACAGGGCAGGAUUCCCCGCGAAAGAGGGGGCGCGACGCUUCAAGGCGUCGUGACGGAUAGUGUCACAGAGAAUAUACCGCCUGAGGCGAUUCACCGCAAGGUGAGGCGCUGCAGGUAAGGGUGAAAAGGUGGGGUAAGAGCCCACCGCGCCGAAAGUAAUGACGGCGGCACGAAAAACCCAAUCCGGUGCAAGACUAAAUAGGGGACUCGGUGGCCCGUCGGAUAGUCCCGGGUUAGUCGCACCCCAGCGUGUUCGGCGCAAGUCGAGCAACGGUGGGGCUGGCCACUUUCGGGUGGCCUGAGAGAAAUGAAGAUCACGUCGCAUUAAUACCGCGGCGGACAGAAUUCGGCUUAUCGGCCCCAAAA